rnacentral:rRNA from 1 species
CCUACGGGAGGCAGCAGUAAGGAAUAUUGGUCAAUGGAGGCAACUCUGAACCAGCCAUGCCGCGUGCAGGAAGACUGCCCUAUGGGUUGUAAACUGCUUUUAUCCGGGAAUAAACCUGCUUACGUGUAAGUAGCUGAAUGUACCGGAAGAAUAAGGAUCGGCUAACUCCGUGCCAGCAGCCGCGGUAAUACGGAGGAUCCAAGCGUUAUCCGGAUUUAUUGGGUUUAAAGGGUGCGUAGGCGGCCUGUUAAGUCAGGGGUGAAAGACGGUAGCUCAACUAUCGCAGUGCCCUUGAUACUGAUGGGCUUGAAUGGACUAGAGGUAGGCGGAAUGAGACAAGUAGCGGUGAAAUGCAUAGAUAUGUCUCAGAACACCGAUUGCGAAGGCAGCUUACUAUGGUCUUAUUGACGCUGAGGCACGAAAGCGUGGGGAUCAAACAGGAUUAGAUACCCUGGUAGUCCCACGACCUAACGAUAGACACUCGCUGUUGGUCGAUACACAGUCACGCGGCGACGACGAACGACGUUAAGUUACGUUCCGUAACCGUCGGGGUAGGUUACGGCCGUCCGACGGGUUAGGUAACGUUACGAAGUUAGAGUUAGUUACGGCGUUGGAGACGCGCCGACGGCGACGACGAGGGAGGAGG